UACGUAGGGGGCAAGCGUUGUCCGGAUUUAUUGGGCGUAAAGAGCGUGUAGGCGGCCAGAUAGGUCCGUUGUGAAAACUGGAGGCUUAACCUCCAGCUGUCGAUGGAAACCAUCUGGCUAGAGUCCGGAAGAGGAGAGUGGAAUUCCUGGUGUAGCGGUGAAAUGCGCAGAUAUCAGGAAGAACACCCGUGGCUAAGGCGGUUCUCUAGUACGGUACUGACGCUGAGACGCGAAAGCGUGGGGAGCGAACAGG
rnacentral:rRNA from 1 species